rnacentral:rRNA from 1 species
AGAGUUUGAUCAUGGCUCAGAACGAACGCUGGCGGCGUGCCUAAAACAUGCAAGUCGAGCGAGAAAGCCCGCAAGGGUGAGUAAAGCGGCGCACGGGUGCGUAACACGUGGGUAAUCUGCCUUGAUCAGGGGGAUAACCAGCCGAAAGGUUGACUAAUACCCCAUAAGCCCACGGGAGCUUCGGCUCCUGAGGGAAAAGGGCGGCCUCUGUAUACAAGCUGUCGGAUCAAGAUGAGCCCGCGGCCCAUCAGUUAGUUGGCGGUGUAAAAGACCACCAAGACUAUGACGGGUAGCUGGUCUGAGAGGACGAUCAGCCACACUGGAACUGAGACACGGUCCAGACUCCUACGGGAGGCAGCAGUUGGGAAUAUUGCGCAAUGGGCGAAAGCCUGACGCAGCAACGCCGCGUGAGCGAUGAAGGUCUUCGGAUCGUAAAGCUCUUUCGGCCCGGACGAAAACCUACUACUUCAUAAGUGGUAGCUUGACGGUACGGGAAGAAGAAGCACCGGCUAACUCUGUGCCAGCAGCCGCGGUAAUACAGAGGGUGCAAGCGUUGUUCGGAAUUAUUGGGCGUAAAGCGCGUGUAGGCGGUCUGUUAUGUCGGGUGUGAAAGCCCUCAGCUCAACUGAGGAAGUGCGCCCGAAACUGGCAGACUUGAGUGCCGGAGAGGAUAGCGGAACACCCGGUGUAGAGGUGAAAUUCGUAGAUAUCGGGUAGAACACCAGUGGCGAAGGCGGCUAUCUGGACGGACACUGACGCUGAGACGCGAAAGCGUGGGGAGCAAACAGGAUUAGAUACCCUAGUAGUCC